AACGAACGCUGGCGGCGCGUCUUAAGCAUGCAAGUCGAACGGCAAGAGAGGAGCUUGCUUCUCUCCUAGAGUGGCGGACUGUGAGGACGCGUGGGUAAUCUACCCUUAAGAUGGGGAUAGCCGCUAGAAAUAGCGGGUAAUACCGAAUAGACUUAUAGCUGAGAAAGAAGUGAUAAGGAAAGGAAGCUAAGGCUUCGCUUAAGGAUGAGCCUGCGUCCCAUUAGCUAGUUGGUAAGGUAACGGCCUACCAAGGCGACGAUGGGUAUCCGGCCUGAGAGGGUGAACGGACACAUUGGGACUGAGAUACGGCCCAAAUCCUACGGGAGGCAGCAGCUAAGAAUAUUCCGCAAUGGACGGAAGUCUGACGGAGCGACGCCGCGUGGAUGAAGAAGGCUGAAAAGUUGUAAAUUCUUUUGCUGACGAAGAAUAAAGAUAAGAGGGAAUGCUUAUCAGAUGACGGUAGUCGCGAAUAAGCCCCG
rnacentral:rRNA from 1 species